AAAGAAGCACUAGGCAUUCCUGCAUGAUAUUUUCACUCAUAAACCCAGCAAGGCCGGUUGUUCAUACUGUUUAAUUGCUGGUAUGGCCAUGCCAGAGCCUCCUCAAUGCUGUUUGGGAUUGGGCUGUGCUCAAAGUCAGUCCAGCCACAGGCACUAUUUCAGAGACUGGGUGGGGAUUUGGAAGAUCACACAGGGAAACGAUCAAGACUUCAGAUGCAAAAGAUGUGAGCCACACUGAGAGCUUUUACUUACCCUUUGCACACCACCAUCAUUACCACACAGUGCGUUUCCCCUCACAGGUGCUGUUGGGCUCUUGAUGUGCUCACAGCUGUCUGAGGAGAGCAGAACAAGCUGACAGAGAGCUGUGUCAUUGUGAUCAGGUGUUGCCCAAAAUUAACUGAUCUGCAGGCUGAGAUGGUAGCUGUGCUUCUCCUCAAAUGCAGCCUCUGGCAGCUGAGCUUCCCUGGCUUGGUGCCUCAGAUGUCUACCACAGCACAGAAGAUUCAAGAUGAAGGCUUUGCCAGCAGUAGUUGCAAAGGCUGCCAUGUGUCCUCUUUCCUCUGUUUGGUGUUACUAUGCAGCUGGAGAUGUCAUCUACACAGCACCCACCCAGGCUGCUGUUCUGCCUCCAAAAACAAUCAGUACAACCUUUGUUGGAGGACAGAAUCCCAAGGCCGAGGAGUUACUGAAAAUAUGUCCCGUGGGAUAGAACAUACAGCCUUGCAGCAGAUUCUCAUUUACAACGGAGUCCAAUAUUGCAGAAUGGAGAUUGAUGGAAUCAUUCAGCACAGCGUCAGCAAGUGUACGUAACUUCUGCUUUGACCAUCAUCAAAGUUACUAGGAGAAUAAAUUGGAAAGGAUUUUAACAAGAGAUGGUGUCGGUACCAUAGUGACCAUGCAGUUGCUAAGGAUGUGAUUGAUUAGCACUCUGAUUGCAGGACUAGAAGAGUUAAUUGCUGUGUCCUCAUUCCAUUUCUCUAGGGGAAAUACCUGCUUGUCAAUUAUACAUGGCCAAAAAUAUCCCACCUCUUGAUUUUUACAGCAUCUGAAAGCUAGCACCUUCUUGACCCUGAGCAUUUCCAUUAUGAAAUGUGAGCUCAUAACUUUGAGUAAAUGCAACACAGGCACUGUUAGCAAUUGCUUGGAUUUUUGUUCAUUUGUUUGGUUUUUUUGCUAUAUUCCCCCCUCCCAUACACAACACACACUUACCUCCUGCAAGUUUGAGAGCCAUUUUUGUGUGUGUGUGUAAGUGUGAAAUUCAGCUAUUAAGCUGACAAAGGCUCAGGGAAAUGAACUGAACUAUCUAGUGGGAAGAAAAAUGGUACUGUAAAGACAGAAUAAAAAAAAGACCUAGGGUAAUAGAGAUUGAUCACUCAAUCUGUCCAUGGCCUCAGAUAAAACUGAUUGAAUUUAACAUGCUAGGUUACAGUUAAGAAGCUGGUUUGUUUCAGUGGAUAUAAUAUCAUUCCAGAUUAUCACGGGGAGCUAUUUAUUUACUUUUGCAUUUGUGAGUCAUUCAGUCAGUUCCUUUCUGUGAGCAAAAAUAUGUUUAUUUUCCCACUCCCUGCUGUUGUGUAUUCUAUUAAUAUCAUUCCAGUUGAAAUAGACGGGCACAGUAGAAACUAUCUAUCUGGUGUUGAAUUUGUGUUUCAGAUUUCUUCUUUUCUUCUUUUUUCUUCUUAAGGCACCUAUCUUCAUAAAGGGACUCAAAAACAUGCUGGCAUUUUUAAUACAAGCUUAGUUCUCUUCCAUGUCUUCCACACUGGCCAUAACCCUUAAAUAACAACUGACGCAGGAGCCUAUGUAUGGACUGUGUCAGAAUGAAUUUCUUCAGAAACGAUGGAGAUGACACCA